GGUGGUCUGGACAUACACUAACUAAAUAAACAUAAUUUAAUUCCUGGAAGGCAUAAAAUACAUUGAAAAUGACUUGCCUUGUCUUAAGACAACAUUUUAAAGCUUUUUUUCCCAGUCACUUUAUGGGAAGAGGUGCAAAAGCUGAACCUUCAACAAGCAAAAUACACUAUUGCUAUAAUUCAUAUUAUAAUUUGAGGGAAUGUAAAGAUGAGUAAGUCAAUGUAAAUUUUGUCAUUUGAAGUAUUUAUCCUGUUGAAUAAUGUUAAAACUUUAGCUUCUAAAUAAUAAACUCUGUGACUAAAAAUUAUACAAUGUUUUACUAAUGUAUAAACAUUUCUUCAACUUUCCAUUAGUUUCCUGUGUGGGAUGCAAUCAAGUAGGUGCAUUGAGGAACUAGUGUUAGUAAUUGCCUGGUAAUUUCCUAUCAGCAAAAGAUGUUUUUUGUUGUUAAUUUGGAGGAGGGAAGGUAACAGAAAAAACAGAGAUAUAUACAUAUUGAACUAAUAAUC
rnacentral:lncRNA from 1 species